GAUGAACGCUGGCGGCGUGCCUAGUACAUGCAAGUCGAGCGAACAGACGAGAAGCUUGCUCCUCUGACGUUAGCGGCGGACGGGUGAGUAACACGUGGAUAACCUACCUAUAAGACUGGGAUAACUUCGGGAAACCGGAGCUAAUACCGGAUAAUAUAUUGAACCGCAUGGUUCAAUAGUGAAAGACGGUUUUGCUGUCACUUAUAGAUGGAUCCGCGCCGCAUUAGCUAGUUGGUAAGGUAACGGCUUACCAAGGCAACGAUGCGUAGCCGACCUGAGAGGGUGAUCGGCCACACUGGAACUGAGACACGGUCCAGACUCCUACGGGAGGCAGCAGUAGGGAAUCUUCCGCAAUGGGCGAAAGCCUGACGGAGCAACGCCGCGUGAGUGAUGAAGGUCUUCGGAUCGUAAAACUCUGUUAUUAGGGAAGAACAUAUGUGUAAGUAACUAUGCACGUCUUGACGGUACCUAAUCAGAAAGCCACGGCUAACUACGUG
rnacentral:rRNA from 1 species